GUCCUACGGGGCGCAGCAGUGGGGAAUAUUGGGCAAUGGGGGAAACCCUGACCCAGCGACGCCGCGUGAGGGAAGAAGGUUUUCGGAUUGUAAACCUCUGUCCUUGGUGACGAUAAUGACGGUAGCCAAGGAGGAAGUCACGGCUAACUACGUGCCAGCAGCCGCGGUAAUACGUAGGUGGCAAGCGUUGUCCGGAUUUAUUGGGCGUAAAGCGAGUGCAGGCGGUUCAAUAAGUCUGAUGUGAAAGCCUUCGGCUCAACCGGAGGAUUGCAUCAGAAACUGUUUAACUUGAGUGCAGAAGAGGG
rnacentral:rRNA from 1 species